UGCCAGCAGCCGCGGUAAUACGUAGGGUGCAAGCGUUAUCCGGAAUUAUUGGGCGUAAAGAGCUCGUAGGCGGUUUGUCGCGUCUGCUGUGAAAACUGGGGGCUCAACCCCCAGCCUGCAGUGGGUACGGGCAGACUAGAAUGCGGUAGGGGAGAUUGGAAUUCCUGGUGUAGCGGUGGAAUGCGCAGAUAUCAGGAGGAACACCGAUGGCGAAGGCAGAUCUCUGGGCCGUAACUGACGCUGAGGAGCGAAAGGGUGGGGAGCAAACAGGCUUAGAUACCCUGGUAGUCCACCCCGUAAACGUUGGGAACUAGUUGUGGGGUCCAUUCCACGGAUUCCGUGACGCAGCUAACGCAUUAAGUUCCCCGCCUGGGGAGUACGGCCGCAAGGCUAAAACUCAAAGGAAUUGACGGGGACCCGCACAAGCGGCGGAGCAUGCGGAUUAAUUCGAUGCAACGCGAAGAACCUUACCAAGGCUUGACAUAUACGAGAACGCUGCAGAAAUGUAGAACUCUUUGGACACUCGUAAACAGGUGGUGCAUGGUUGUCGUCAGCUCGUGUCGUGAGAUGUUGGGUUAAGUCCCGCAACGAGCGCAACCCUCGUUCUAUGUUGCCAGCACGUAACGGUGGGAACUCAUGGGAUACUGCCGGGGUCAACUCGGAGGAAGGUGGGGAUGACGUCAAUCAUCAUGCCCCUUAUGUCUUGGCUUCACGCAUGCUACAUGACGGUACAAAGGGCUGCAUACCGUAAGGUGGAGCGAUCCCAAAAGCGGUCCCAGUCGAUGAGUCUGCACUCGACUCAUGAGUCGGAGUCGCUAGUAUCGCGAUCAGCACGCUGCGGUGAAUACGUCGGACUUGCACUCACCCGCCGUCAGGGCGAUUCUGUUAACUUGCAGG
rnacentral:rRNA from 1 species